rnacentral:snRNA from 1 species
AGAUUAGCAUGGUCCCUGCAAAAGGAUGACACACAAAUUUGUGAAGCGUUCCAUAUUUUA